CUGGCGGCCUUAGCGCGGUGGUCCCACCUGACCCCAUGCCGAACUCAGAAGUGAAACGCCGUAGCGCCGAUGGUAGUGUGGGGUCUCCCCAUGCGAGAGUAGGGAACUGCCAGACA
rnacentral:rRNA from 8 species